rnacentral:rRNA from 1 species
AUACGGAGGAUGCGAGCGUUAUCCGGAUUUAUUGGGUUUAAAGGGAGCGUAGGCGGGAGCUUAAGUCAGCGGUUAAAUGGUGCGGCUCAACCGUGCCCUGCCGUUGAAACUGGGUUUCUUGAGAGUGCAAGAGGCGGAUGGAAUUCAUGGGGUAGCGGUGAAAUGCUUAGAUAUCAUGAAGAACUCCGAUUGCGAAGGCAGUCCGCUGGGGCACGUCUGACGCUGAUGCUCGAAGGUGCGGGAAUCAAACAGGAUUAGAUACCCUGGUAGUCCGCACGGUAAACGAUGAUUACCCGCUGUCGGCGGCAGACAGUCGGCGGCCAAGCGAAAGCGAUAAGUAAUCCACCUGGGGAGUACGCCGGCAACGGUGAAACUCAAAGGAAUUGACGGGG